rnacentral:rRNA from 1 species
AUUGAACGCUGGCGGAAUGCUUUACACAUGCAAGUCGAACGGCAGCACGGACUUCGGUCUGGUGGCGAGUGGCGAACGGGUGAGUAAUGUAUCGGAACGUGCCCAGUCGUGGGGGAUAACGUAGUGAAAAUUACGCUAAUACCGCAUACGAUCUAUGGAUGAAAGCGGGGGAUCGCAAGACCUCGCGCGAUUGGAGCGGCCGAUAUCAGAUUAGGUAGUUGGGGGGGUAAAGGCCCACCAAGCCAACGAUCUGUAGCUGGACUGAGAGGAAGACCAGCCACACUGGAACUGAGACACGGUCCAGACUCCUACGGGAGGCAGCAGUGGGGAAUUUUGGACAAUGGGCGAAAGCCUGAUCCAGCCAUUCCGCGUGCAGGAUGAAGGCCCUCGGGUUGUAAACUGCUUUUGUACAGAACGAAAAGGUUUCUACUAAUACUAGGAGCUCAUGACGGUACUGUAAGAAUAAGCACCGGCUAACUACGUGCCAGCCGCCGCCGUAA